UGCAGGGGGUGGGGAGAAUCAUUUGUGAAGCACUUUCAUGAUGUUUUAUUAAGAGUUUAGUUUGCUGAUCCUCGAGGCAAAACUGUCACUCACUGAACAAUCGCAAAUGUCUGUUUUGGCUGAAGUGAACUGCAACAUGAAAAUACAAUUGCUAUCAUGAUGCUGAUAUAGAAGAAAAAAGAAAAAAACCCUACCAAGACCAAAGCUGUUCAUUAAGGAGAAAAGAAGUUACAGAGUAGAAAAACUUAAAAGGAAAUUGACGAACGACGGACAGCUGUUGGCUCUCACGCAGGAAGACUUAAAACUAAAAAAAUAAAUACUGAAGCAUAUGGAGGCAACUGACAGGGAGUUCAUGGACAGAAUUGGAAACAUUUCCUACAGCCAUAGUCUCUUCACCGAUGAAAGGGACGACAGCUACAACUAAAUGCAAUAAGGCUUUUUACUGGGCAAAACUGAAAUUUGCUGUUACCUCAUUUGUUUGCCUUUACUUUUGCCAUGUCUUUCUGUACUAUUUUGCUGUAUUUAACAUGUGCAAUAAAACGAGUUACUGGUCAAAAGCGAUUUUAUUUUUACCUGAGUAAAAGUGAAACUUACAAUUUUCCUUUUUUUGCCUUAACAUUUUCACUUCUAUGCCAACUAUAAACUACUACUUAAAAAUGACAUUUUGG